UAGAAUUCUUUGCUGUUUGUCAAAGCAUCCAUGUCUAAUUUAGAACUCAAAAUUGCAGGCCGGCGUAGAGGCGUUCACUGACCAGGGCUUACAGGUGCCGGCGAAGGAGGCAGGGAUGGGGGCGGCGGCGGAAUAACCAGAUUCGGCGAAGUCGGCGGCGGCGGGAUCGGCGCUGGAGUCGACGCACUCAGCGAAUGGAGGAGAUGAAGGAGGCGGCGUCUGGCUCGGCGGAAUCGGCGCAGCCGGUGAACUCGGCGGGGUCGCCGAAGUGUGCGCCGGAGGUCGAUGGACGGAUGGAGGCGGUGAUGGAGGGGCGGUAGGGCGGCGCCGGCGGGGCGGCAGGGCGCGGAGGCGGGACGGAAGCGCCGCGAAGGAGGGAGGGCGACGGAGGAGGGAGUGGCGACGGCGGCGGGGGAAGGGCGACCGAGGAGGGAGUGGC
rnacentral:lncRNA from 1 species